rnacentral:lncRNA from 1 species
GCAGAAACAAACAAGAUACUUCACAAUGAUAACAAUUAUACAUGCUUUCAAUUUCAUACUUCAUGCAAUAUUUCCAAAUCAUAACAUACACUGUGCAAUUUCAUAAGUAACAUGACAAGACUUAAUAGAAUUAUCACCAACCAAGUAAAUUAAACUUCAUAACUUAUCCUACUUUUUUUUUUUUUUUGUGAUUUUUAAUCUAAAGCACAUUAAAACAUUGAACAAACACAACCAAAAUUCAAAAGGACAAUGAACUCUUCACUUUGUUACAAUGAUUUGAUUCAAUCUCAAGGCUCAAAUUCUUCUUGGUCAUCUUCAAACUGCUCUUGAUUCUGGUAACCAUUCAUAGAGUUCUUGUUAUUCUCAUAAUUGUUCACAUUGUUGUUACCAAAGUAACCCUUUUUGUUGUACCAAUUCUCAGAGUUCACAACUCCUUUAGAUGAAUCUCCAUUGAAUGUUGGGUUAUAUUUCUCCUCAGAGUUAACAUCAUAAAAAUAUUUUCCACCUUCCAUAACUCUCGUGUCACUCAUUCCUUGCCUCUCACCAUUGUUGUAAUUGUUGUUACUUUUGAAGCUGUAUUUGUCAUUAACAGCAACUUUGUUGUUGUAGUUAUACUUCUCGUAGUUGUUGUUGUUCUGAUUUUGCAUUGAGUUGUAACCUUCUUCUGGGAACUUUGUGUUGCUAGAAGAAUCUUUGUUGUUGUUGUUGUAGAAAUACUUGUUGUUGUUGUUGUUCCGGUUUUCCAUGGAGUUGUAUCCUUCUUCUGUAAACUUUGUGUUGCUAGAAGAAUCCUUGUUGUUGUUGUUGUAGAAAUACUUGUUAUCGUUGUUGUUGUUGUUCUGAUUUUCGUUCGAGUUAUAUCCUUCUUCUGGGAACUUUUUGUUGCUAAAGUCAUCAGAACUAGAAGAAUACUUGUUGUUGUCGUAGUUAUUGUUGCUGCUGCUGCUGUAAGAUGUUGGUGUUAGUUUUGUGUCACUAACUUCAUUCGGGUACUUGUUGUCGGAAUCUUGCUGGUAGUUGAAGUAAUUAUUAACUUUGUUGUUGUUGAUUUCAUCGUGUGACGAAGUUUUUUCAUAUGAUUGGUAAGUGUUGGGAUCAACAUUGUUUGUGUUAGUGGUAGUCGGAGGGUGUAGACCAGUAUCAUGACCAUAUAAACCAUAACUGUUUUCAGUUUCCGGGACGAAAACUGGUUGGUUUUCUGGUUUGUUUAAUGGUGUUUCAUUGUUAGGAACUUCUCUAACAUUGUUGUUGUUGUUGACAUGGGUGACUUUGCUGAAAAAUUGACUGUCUCUGGCAUGAAUUUGGAGAGAAAAUGAAAGGGCUGUUAAGAAUAGGAAAGAAAGGAAUUUUGAGAUGGGAGCCAUAGAUGAUGGAUGAUGGUGAAAGAGAAGGAAAGUGACUUAGACUGUC